UUGUGAGGUAAUGCCUCACCAAGGAGACGAUCCUUAGCUGCUCUGAGAGGAUGAUCAGCCACACUGGAAUUGAGACACGGUCCAGACUCUUACGGGAGGCAGGCAGUGGGGAAUAUUGCACAAUGGGCGCAAGCCUGAUGCAGCCAUGCCGCGUGUAUGAAGAAGGCUUUCGGGUUGUAAAGUACUUUCAGUCGUGAGGAAGGUGGUGUUGUUAAUAGCAGCAUCAUUUGACGUUAGCGACAGAAGAAGCACCGGCUAAUUCCGUGCCAGCAGCCGGGGUAAUACGGAGGGUGCGAGCGUUAAUCGGAAUUACUGGGCGUAAAGCGCAUGCAGGUGGUGGAUUAAUUCAGAUGUGAAAGCCCGGGGCUCAACCUGGGAACCCCAUUUGAAACUGGUUCACUAGAGUACUGUAGAGGGGGGUAGAAUUUCAGGUGUAGCGGUGAAAUGCGUAGAGAUCUGAAGGAAUACCGGUGGCGAAGGCGGCCCCCUGGACAGAUACUGACACUCAGAUGCGAAAGCGUGGGGAGCAAACAGGAUUAGAUACCCUGGUAGUCCACGCCGUAAAUGAUGUGUACUUGGAGGUCGUGGCCUUGAGCCGUGGCUUUCGGAGCUAACGCGUUAAGUAGACCGCCUGGGGAGUACGGUCGCAAGAUUAAAACUCAAAUGAAUUGACGGGGGCCUCGCACAAAUCGGUGGAGCAAGUGGUGAAAUUAGAUGCAGUUGCGUAUGAUAA
rnacentral:rRNA from 1 species